rnacentral:tRNA from 1 species
GCCCAGGUAGCUCAGUGGUAGAGCACCCCCUUGGUAAGGGGGAGGUCGUGAGUUCAAGUCUCAUCCUGGGCUCCC